rnacentral:rRNA from 1 species
AUUGAACGCUGGCGGCAUGCCUUACACAUGCAAGUCGAACGGCAGCGCGGGGCAACCUGGCGGCGAGUGGCGAACGGGUGAGUAAUAUAUCGGAACGUGCCCUGGAGUGGGGGAUAACGUAGCGAAAGUUACGCUAAUACCGCAUACGAUCCAAGGAUGAAAGCAGGGGACCUUCGGGCCUUGUGCUCCUGGAGCGGCCGAUAUCUGAUUAGCUAGUUGGUGGGGUAAAAGCCUACCAAGGCGACGAUCAGUAGCUGGUCUGAGAGGACGACCAGCCACACUGGAACUGAGACACGGCCCAGACUCCUACGGGAGGCAGCAGUGGGGAAUAUUGCGCAAUGGGCGAAAGCCUGACGCAGCGACGCCGCGUGGGUGAUGAAGGCCUGGUC